AUUGAACGCUGGCGGCAGGCCUAACACAUGCCAGUCGAACGGUAACAGGAAGCAGCUUGCUGCUUCGCUGACGAGUGGCGGACGGGUGAGUCAUGUCUGGGAAACUGCUUGAUGGAGGGGGAUAACUACUGGAAACGGUAGCUAAUACCGCAUAACGUCUCAAGACCAAAGAGGGGGACCUUAGGGCCUCUUGCCAUCGGAUGUGCCCAGAUGGGAUUAGCUAGUAGGUGGGGUAACGGCUCACCUAGGCGACGAUCCCUAGCUGGUCUGAGAGGAUGACCAGCCACACUGGAACUGAGACACGGUCCAGACUCCUACGGGAGGCAGCAGUGGGGAAUCUUGCACAAUGGGCGAAAGCCUGAUGCAGCCAUGCCGCGUGUAUGAAGAAGGCCUUCGGGUUGUAAAGUACUUUCAGCGGGGAGGAAGGGAGUAAAGUUAAUACAUUUGCUCAUUGACGUUACCCGCAGAAGAAGCACCGGCUAACUCCGUG
rnacentral:rRNA from 1 species